GAUGAACGCUGGCGGCGUGCUUAACACAUGCAAGUCGAACGAAGCACUUUAUUUGAUUUCCUUCGGGACUGAUUAUUUUGUGACUGAGUGGCGGACGGGUGAGUAACGCGUGGGUAACCUGCCUUGUACAGGGGGAUAACAGUUGGAAACGGCUGCUAAUACCGCAUAAGCGCACAGCAUCGCAUGAUGCAGUGUGAAAAACUCCGGUGGUAUAAGAUGGACCCGCGUUGGAUUAGCUAGUUGGUGAGGUAACGGCCCACCAAGGCGACGAUCCAUAGCCGACCUGAGAGGGUGACCGGCCACAUUGGGACUGAGACACGGCCCAAACUCCGACGGGAGGCAGCAGUGGGGAAUAUUGCACAAUGGGCGAAAGCCUGAUGCAGCGACGCCGCGUGAGCGAAGAAGUAUUUCGGUAUGUAAAGCUCUAUCAGCAGGGAAGAUAAUGACGGUACCUGACUAAGAAGCACCGGCUAAAUACGUG
rnacentral:rRNA from 1 species